AAGUCGUAACAAGGUCUCCGUUGGUGAACCAGCGGAGGGAUCAUUACCGAGUUUCUACUCUAAACCCUGCGAACCUACCAUUACGUGCUUCGGCGGCCAGCCCCGGGGGGGCGCCCUACGGCCGCCGAUAGUACCUAAAAAUCACUUUUCAGAGUCUUCUGAGUGACAAAAAAAAAACAAGUCAAAACCUUCAACAACGGAUCUCUUGGUUCUG
rnacentral:misc_RNA from 1 species